GGUCAAGCUAAUAAGGGCUAAUGGUGGAUACCUAGG
rnacentral:rRNA from 1 species